rnacentral:rRNA from 1 species
CGCUGGCGGCGCGCCUAACACAUGCAAGUCGAACGAGAGAUGAGGAGCUUGCUCUUCAAAUCGAGUGGCGAACGGGUGAGUAACGCGUGAGGAACCUGCCUCAAAGAGGGGGACAACAGUUGGAAACGACUGCUAAUACCGCAUAAGCCCACGGCUCGGCAUCGAGCAGAGGGAAAAGGAGCAAUCCGCUUUGAGAUGGCCUCGCGUCCGAUUAGCUAGUUGGUGAGGUAACGGCCCACCAAGGCGACGAUCGGUAGCCGGACUGAGAGGUUGAACGGCCACAUUGGGACUGAGACACGGCCCAGACUCCUACGGGAGGCAGCAGUGGGGAAUAUUGCACAAUGGGGGAAACCCUGAUGCAGCGACGCCGCGUGGAGGAAGAAGGUCUUCGGAUUGUAAACUCCUGUUGUUGAGGAAGAUAAUGACGGUACUCAACAAGGAAGUGACGGCUAACUACGUGCCAGCAGCCGCGGUAAAACGUAGGUCACAAGCGUUGUCCGGAAUUACUGGGUGUAAAGGGAGCGCAGGCGGGAAGACAAGUUGGAAGUGAAAUCCAUGGGCUCAACCCAUGAACUGCUUUCAAAACUGUUUUUCUUGAGUAGUGCAGAGGUAGGCGGAAUUCCCGGUGUAGCGGUGGAAUGCGUAGAUAUCGGGAGGAACACCAGUGGCGAAGGCGGCCUACUGGGCACCAACUGACGCUGAGGCUCGAAAGUGUGGGUAGCAAACAGGAUUAGAUACCCUGGUAGUCCACACCGUAAACGAUGAUUACUAGGUGUUGGAGGAUUGACCCCUUCAGUGCCGCAGUUAACACAAUAAGUAAUCCCCCUGGGGAGUACGACCGCAAGGUUGAAACUCAAAGGAAUUG